UCCCUAUGGGGUGCAGCAGGCGAGAAAACUUUGCAAUGUGCGAAAGCACGACAAGGUUAAUCCGAGUGGUUUCUGCUAAAGGAACCUUUUGUCGGUCCUAGAAACACCGAUGAAUAAGGGGUGGGCAAGUUCUGGUGUCAGCCGCCGCGGUAAAACCAGCACCUCAAGUGGUCAGGAUGAUUAUUGGGCCUAAAGCAUCCGUAGCCGGCUCUGUAAGUUUUCGGUUAAAUCUGUACGCUCAACGUACAGGCUGCCGGGAAUACUGCAGAGCUAGGGAGUGGGAGAGGUAGACGGUACUCGGUAGGAAGGGGUAAAAUCCUUUGAUCUAUUGAUGACCACCUGUGGCGAAGGCGGUCUACCAGAACACGUCCGACGGUGAGGGAUGAAAGCUGGGGGAGCAAACCGGAUUAGAUGCCCGGGUAGUCCCAGCUGUAAACUAUGCAAACUCAGUGAUGCAUUGGCUUGUGGCCAAUGCAGUGCUGCAGGGAAGCCGUUAAGUUUGCCGCCUGGGAAGUACGUACGCAAGUAUGAAACUUAAAGGAAUUGGCGGGGAGCACCACAAGGGGUGAAGCCUGCGGUUCAAUUGGAUUCAACGCCGGG
rnacentral:rRNA from 1 species